rnacentral:rRNA from 1 species
GACGUAGGGUGCGAGCGUUGUCCGGAUUUAUUGGGCGUAAAGAGCGUGUAGGCGGCCAGACAGGUCCGUUGUGAAAACUCGAGGCUCAACCUCGAGAUGUCGAUGGAAACCGUCUGGCUAGAGUCCGGAAGAGGAGUGUGGAAUUCCUGGUGUAGCGGUGAAAUGCGCAGAUAUCAGGAAGAACACCUAUGGCGAAGGCAGCACUCUGGGACGGUACUGACGCUGAGGCACGAAAGCGUGGGGAGCAAACAGG